rnacentral:rRNA from 1 species
UACGUAGGGCGCAAGCGUUGUCCGGAUUUAUUGGGCGUAAAGAGCUCGUAGGCGGUCUGUCGCGUCGGCUGUGAAAACCCGAGGCUCAACCUCGGGCCUGCAGUCGAUACGGGCAGACUAGAGUGUGGCAGGGGAGACUGGAAUUCCUGGUGUAGCGGUGAAAUGCGCAGAUAUCAGGAGGAACACCGGUGGCGAAGGCGGGUCUCUGGGCCGAUAUUGACGCUGAGGAGCGAAAGCGUGGGGAGCAAACAGG